CAAAAUAUUUUGUGUUUGUGAAGGCCCCGCUGAGACUCUAUGAAUAUGGCUGGACAAAUUGGGGAAGGAGCACGACAGCCCUGUCACUCAAGAAGAACAAUAGGAAAAGUGAUAUGUUCCUCCAGCUGCACUCCUGCUUCCACUGAGUUAAGGGGAGACAUCACUGAGUUGAAGGUGAGUCCAAGGUCUCCCUGUGCCCAUGAGGGACUGAAGGCCAUAUGCAGUCCUACUUUAAGCUGGGGCACUUGGGAGAGGGGGAGAACUAAGAUGGUUAUGGUUCAUUGCUAACAGUGGUGAGCUCUCACCACCCCCGCCCCCGACUUAGUACUUGUGAGGUCUCUCCUACUCAGUUACAAGGGCUUGGCUGGUGUCAUAAUGGGGAGAGGAAGCCAAAAUGAGAGUUGUUGCUUCUAGUAGGAAUUAUUGCAUCUUGUGCUUACACUUCCCAAUCCCUUAAGUCAGAUGUAAGAUGAGAUUUUGUGAUCUAGAAAUCAUUCUAGUCCAUCUUAUUAUACAAACAAUUCUUUGGAAAAGGUCUAGUUUAUUUGAAAGAGGAAAAAAAGAGAAAUAUAUAUAUGUGCUCCAAACCGUCAGUUUCAUUAUGGAAAUUGAACAAAUAAAAGUCAGAUUAACUUCAAGUGUCUUGUUAACUAGGUAGCUGGCCUUUUUCAAAACAAAACAGACAGAAUAAAAACCAACUCCCUUUGUUGUACAAUCUGUUGUACAACAAAGUUCUUCAAAUAUCCUGUUAGUUUAUAAAAUAGCCAAUUACAUUGUGAAACUAUAGUUAAUCUAUCAAUAAACAAUCAAUAAUUAUAAAAUAAUUAAAAGGUUCCUAGGGGAUAAUUUAUUUAAGUAGCUGCUCUGCAGAGAAGCUCAUGAUCUCUCUGUAAAUCUAGACUCACUUACCAAGGGAAGCGUUCCUUUACACACUUCAGAAGUUGGUGCCCUUGCUCAGUGCUCACAUAUCCUCCUGUUUAAGAAUUUAUUACUCUACCUUGUGAUGGCAUUUCUCUUUAAACAAGCAGCUUCUUAAAGGCAGGAACUUCAUCAUAUUACAUUACAUUUUGCCACACAUUCAUACAAGGCUUAACACAUAGCAAAUGAUUCUUUCAUUUUUUUUCUAGAGGAAUAUGUAAAUAAACAAAUAUUUUAGGAAGACUCUAUUCUAAACCACCUUGAAAAAAAUCAUUUGUCAAAGUAUUAGAACUACUAUUCCCUUACAGUCUAUGAAAUCAGUAUUUGAUGGGCUCCUGUUUCUAAGCAAAUGUCUCAUAUAUAUGUUAAACCAGAAUAACAGCUAUAUCCCACAAGGACGUUAACAGUAAGCCUGACUUUUUUAAAAUAAAUGCAAUAAAAAUGCAAUAGGUUUGUUUGGAUUUACCUCUGUAGAAAAAAAAAAAAAAGCUUUGCUGUCAGUAAAAAUGAUGUUCCGCACAUCUUUGUGGACCACAUGGCUGAGCCUUUUCUUGUUACAUUUUGAGGUAAGAGGCUUGCUUCUUGUCACCUUCAAUUUGACAUUUUACAGAAACUAGAAACAUAAGUCAGGUAGGGAAA